AGGACGAACGGCUGGCGGCGUGCUUAACACAUGCAAGUCGAACGAUGAACCUCCUUCGGGAGGGGAUUAGUGGCGAACGGGUGAGUAACACGUGGGCAAUCUGCCCUUCACUCUGGGACAAGCCCUGGAAACGGGGUCUAAUACCGGAUACGACUACCGACCGCAUGGUCUGGUGGUGGAAAGCUCCGGCGGUGAAGGAUGAGCCCGCGGCCUAUCAGCUUGUUGGUGGGGUGAUGGCCUGCCAAGGCGACGACGGGUAGCCGGCCUGAGAGGGCGACCGGCCACACUGGGACUGAGACACGGCCCAGACUCCUACGGGAGGCAGCAGUGGGGAAUAUUGCACAAUGGGCGAAAGCCUGAUGCAGCGACGCCGCGUGAGGGAUGACGGCCUUCGGGUUGUAAACCUCUUUCAGCAGGGAAGUAAGCGAGAGUGACGGUACCUGCAGAAGAAGCGCCGGCUAACUACGUGCCAGCCGCCGC
rnacentral:rRNA from 1 species